UGGCUGUGGCCUGCUUGCUGUGGACCUGCUGCUGGUGUGGCUUGCAGGACGGAGUGGGUUGCUGGAGUAGGCUAGGCCUGCUGGACCUAGGCUGUUAUAUUUCUAAUUUUUUUUUAUUUUUUUCUUCUUUUCGCUGUUGGGGUGCGCAGGUUGUGGCUUGUUGCAGUACUACCGGGCCGCUAGGACGGGCCUAGCUGUGGCCUGCUUGACGAAUCAAAUCCGAUUCGAGUCGGGUCUGCUGGGCAACUGGGUUGCUGGCAUGUUGAUGCUGCUGGAUGUGGGCCCGCUGUUUUGGGCCGACCUGUUGGUACUGGCUGGGUUACUGUUCGGGUCAGGUUGGGUCAUUGGUCAGUUGGACAAAGGUCUGAUCCGGGUCGGGUGAACCCGACUAUUAUAUUUCUAUAUAUUUUUUAUUUUUAUUUUUUUCUUCUUUUCACUGUUGGCCCGCGCAGGUUGUGGCCUGUUGCAGUACUACUGGGCCGCUAGGACGGGCUGGCUGUGGCGUGCUUGACGGAUUGGAUCCGCUUCAAGUCGGGUCUGCUGGCCUACUGGGUCGCUGGCAUGUUGAUGCUGCUGGAUGUGGGCCUGGUGUUUUGGGCCGACCUGUUGGUGUUGGC
rnacentral:lncRNA from 1 species